rnacentral:rRNA from 1 species
CCAUUGCUGUACGUUGUGCGUGCAGGACUCGCUGGGUGCAACCAGCGGGAAGAGGGUGGCAAUAACAGGUCUGUGAUGCCCUUAGAUGUUCUGGGCCGCACGCGCGCUACACUGACAGAGGCAGCGAGUGGACCGGUGGCACGAGAGUGCUGCCUAAUCUGCAAGCUCUGUCGUGCUGGGGAUAGACCAUUGCAAUUGUUGGUCUUGAACGAGGAAUUCCUAGUAAGCGCAAGUCAUCAGCUUGCGUUGAUUAUGUCCCUGCCCUUUGUACACACCGCCCGUCGCUACUACCGAUUGAAUGUGCUAAUGAGGCCUGGGGAGCUGCGCUUUGGUGCGGUGAACCCGGACGAAUUGGGACAUUUAGAGGAAGUAAAAGUCG